GAAGAAACCAGGUCAUUUAUUCUGUAUAGUUUCACACAGUCCGGAUUUUGCUGACUGCAUUCCAAUGUGUUCAUCAACAUGUUCCACUGAACCCUCCAUUUCCUGUAAAUUGGGGUCAAUCCACCUUGGGGCUGGGGAAAAAGCACUGGAGGAAGGUUCAGUCGGUGUGAGUUACGGCCUCAGUUCCGUGAGACGGCGCCGGUACUGGAAGGAACAGCAGGCUUGGACCCGAGAGAUCUUGUCUACAAAUACGUCUUUUUACAACACAUCAUUUAACUUUUCUUGCCUCCAGUUUAUUAAGCUGCACACCAGGGAGUUCCCUGCAUGGCCUGAGAAGGAUUAGGGAAU
rnacentral:lncRNA from 1 species